UACAGAGGUCUCAGGCGUUGUUCGGAUUCAUUGGGCGUAAAGGGUGCGUAGGUGGCGCCGUAAGUCAGGUGUGAAAUUUCGGAGCUUGACUCCGAAACUGCAUUUGAUACUGCGGUGCUUGAGGACUGGAGAGGAGACUGGAAUUUACGGUGUAGCAGUGAAAUGCGUAGAGAUCGUAAGGAAGACCAGUGGCGAAGGCGGGUCUCUGGACAGUUCCUGACACUGAGGCACGAAGGCCAGGGGAGCAAACGGGG
rnacentral:rRNA from 1 species